CUUUUAUGACUUUCGGUGUUCUCUAGGCGAUGUAGAUGAAGAACCAGAUAAUAUCCGGUUGAAAUCACAUAUUCUCUAAGGGAAAUCCUCCUAUGGUGAAGAAAUAGCGAAUCUGAUGAUUUAUCAUUACGAAUCAAGAUCCAAAAACGCAGAAGAUGAAUAAAAAACUCGUUAACAAUUCAGAGGAAGAAAGUAGUUAACAACUAAGAGGAAGAAGCAGAGGAGGGUUGUUCGAAUGGGAAAUCUGAUUUCAUGAAUCAUUCGAAGAUCUGCAUGUUUAAUUUACAAAUCAAGAAUCAAAGAAGAUUGAAUGUUGAUUUGCGUGGUGAGAAAAGUACCAAGAGAAAAAAUCUCAACAUGAUUGAAGGAGAAACUAAUUGUUCUUUAUUCAAGGUCGACAAAUACAUCUACAUAGAGGACUUUAUUAUUCGGACAUAAGAUAUUGUGAAUAAGAUAGAAGCUAAAAGAGAUGUGGGCGAUGAGGCAAAGACACUUUCAGCAGAAAAGAUAAGUCGAUAAAUACAACUACAUAGAGGACCAAAUUAUUCGGACAUAAGAUAUUGUGAAAUAAGAUAGAAGCUAAAGAGAUUUGGGCGAUGAGGCAAAAUACACUUUCAUAGGAGAAGAUAAGUACAAUGUCAUCUAUUAAGUUUAUCUAUCGUAUAGUAUAUAUAUAUAUAAAACAUAUUAUAACAAUCAGUUCACCUUUCCAUACCUUUUUCAAACAAUUUCGUUUUAUGUAGAUGAACUGAUUAUAUUUUCUUCAUCUUGUUUUAAUAGGACCAAGGUCAUUAAAGUGGUGGGACGUGAAGAUACAGGACUGAAGUUUAACUUGAAGUUUCUAUUCACGGGUGAACGAAACCGAACA